AUCCAAGCUACUAAGAGUCAACGGUGAAUGCCUUGGCGCUAGAAGCCGAUGAAGGACGUGGCAGGCUGCGAAAAGCCUCGGGAAGCUGUCAAGCAAGCGUCGAUCCGAGGAUGUCCGAAUGGGGAAACCCGGCUGGGGUCAUGCCCAGUCACUCUGGUCUGAAUAUAUAGGGCCAGGUGAGGUAACCAGGGGAACUGAAACAUCUCAGUACUCUGAGGAAAAGAAAGCAACAGCGACUCCCUGAGUAGUGGCGAGCGAAACGGGAUGAGCCUAAACCUAUGCAGUGUGAUAGCCCGGUGGUGUUGCUGUAUAGGGGUCGUGGGACCUAUGCCUCGAUGCACCGGCAUCGAGCUGAAGUUACAAAGAUGGCGGUUAGUCGAACCCAGAUGGAAAGCUGGGCCGCAGAAGGUAACAGCCCUUUAGACGAAAACCGACCAACCUUCAGAUUGGUGUUCCCAAGUAUCACGGAGGAUAUUCCGUGUGAAUCUGCGAGUACCACCUCGUAAGGCUAAGUACUUUCUAGCGACCGAUAGCGGACAAGUACCGUGAGGGAAAGGUGAAAAGAACCCCGGCGAGGGGAGUGAAAUAGUACCUGAAACCGUUGACUUACAAGCAGUAGGAGGGAUCUUCGGAUCCUGACUGCCUGCCUUUUGAAGAAUGAGCCGGCGAGUUACCGGUAUGUGGCAAGAUUAAGGUGUGAGCCGUAGUCGAAGCGAAAGCGAGUCUUAAUAGGGCGCCUAGUCGCAUGCCGUAGACCCGAAGCCGAGUGAUCUAUCCAUGGGCAGGGUGAAGCGAGGGUAAGACCUCGUGAAGGCCCGAACCCACCAAGGUUGAAAACUUGGGGGAUGACCUGUGGAUAGGGGUGAAAGGCCAAACAAACUCGGCGAUAGCUGGUUCUCCCCGAAAUAGCUUUAGGGCUAGCGUCGUACGUUCCGUAUUGGGGGUAGAGCACUGAUUGGACUAGGGGGCCUACAAGCUUACCGCAUUCAGUCAAACUCCGAAUCUCAAUACGCCAAGUACGGCAGUCAGACUACGGGAGAUAAGUUUCGUGGUCGAAAGGGAAACAGCCCAGAUCGUCAGCUAAGGCCCCCAAGUGUGUACUAAGUGGGAAACGAUGUGGAGUUGCUCAAACAGCCAGUAUGUUGGCUUAGAAGCAGCCACCAUUUAAAGAGUGCGUAACAGCUCACUGGUCGAGUGAUUCCGCGCGGAAGAUGUAACGGGGCUCAAGUACACCGCCGAAGCUACGGGAUCCAGCUUUUGCUGGAUCGGUAGGGGAGCGUCGUGUUGCCAGUGAAGCGGCGGCGGAAGCCAGCCGUGGAGGCUACACGAGUGCGAAUGCCGGCAUGAGUAGCGAAUGAAGAGUGAGAAUCUCUUCCGCCGAAUGUCCAAGGGUUCCUGGGGAAGGUUCGUCCGCCCAGGGUAAGUCGGGACCUAAGGCGAGGCCGAGAGGCGUAGUCGAUGGACGACCGGUUGAUAUUCCGGUACCACUCUGCGUGCGCCCAGGCCGAAUCUGGUUUGCUAAGGAAAGCCCUUCGGGGCCUACCAACCCAGCCAGUACUAGGUCAGCGAUGGAGUGACGGGGAAGGCUAAACGGACCCGGGCGAUGGUUGUUCCCGGGGUAAGCGUGUGGGCGAGGUCUAGGCAAAUCCGGACCUCAUAAAGCCGAGACGUGAUGCCGAGCCGAUUCAGGCGAAGCCGUUGAUGCCAUACCUCCAAGAAAAGCUUCUAGCGAGCACUCAGGGUGCCCGUACCCCAAACCGACACAGGUGGACAGGUAGAGAAUACCAAGGCGAGCGAGUUAACUCUGGUUAAGGAAUUCGGCAAAAUAGCUCCGUAACUUCGGGAGAAGGAGCGCCCCGGUAAGGUGAAAGGACUUCGCGUCCUCGAGCUUGAGGGGGCCGCAGUGACCAGACCCAAGCGACUGUUUACCAAAAACACAGCAGCGUGCGAAGUCGCAAGACGAUGUAUACGCUGUGACGCCUGCCCGGUGCUGGAAGGUUAAGUGGAUAGGUUAGCUUCGGC
rnacentral:rRNA from 1 species